rnacentral:rRNA from 1 species
CUACGGGUGGCUCCAGUCGAGAAUCUUCCACAAUGGGCGAAAGCCUGAUGGAGCGACGCCGCGUGCUUGAAGAAACCCUUCGGGGCGUAAAAGGCUUUUCUGAGGGAACAAUUAUGAUUUAUCAUGAUGAGCGUACCUCAGGAAUAAGGGGCGGCAAACUUCGUGCCAGAAGCCUCGGUAAUACGAAGGUCCCAAGCGUUAUCCGGAUUAACUGGGCGUAAAGCGUGUGUAGGCGGUUUUAAUAGUGGUUGGUUAAAUUCCAGAGCUUAACUUUGGAGCUGCCAAUCAAACGUUAAAACUAGAGCAAGUGAGAGGUUGAUGGAACUUACCAAGUAGGGGUGAAAUCCGUUGAUAUGGUAAGGAACACCAAAGGCGAAGGCAAUCAACUGGUACUUAGCUGACGCUGAGACACGAAAGCGUGGGGAGAGAACGGGAUUAGAUACCCCCGUAGUC